GACAGAGGGUGCAAACGUUGUUCGGAAUUACUGGGCGUAAAGCGCGUGUAGGCGGCUAAGUAAGUCGGUCGUGAAAUCCCUCGGCUCAACCGAGGAACGUCGAUCGAUACUGCUGUUCUUGAGGAUUGCAGAGGAGACUGGAAUUCCCGGUGUAGCGGUGAAAUGUGUAGAGAUCGGGAGGAACACCGGUAGCGAAGGCGGGUCUCUGGGCAAUUCCUGACGCUGAGGCGCGAAAGCGUGGGGAGCAAACGGG
rnacentral:rRNA from 1 species